rnacentral:ncRNA from 1 species
CGCCAUGGACGGCCAUGGCGCGGUCAUACCCAGCGCGGGACGGCCCGC